rnacentral:rRNA from 1 species
ACGUAAUAGAUACCCAGGUAGUCCACGCCCUAAACGAUGUCUACUAGUUGUUGGUGGAGUAAAAUCCAUGAGUAAACGCAGCUAAACGCGUGAAGUAGACCGCCUGGGGAGUACGGUCGCAAGAUUAAAAACUCAAAGGAAUUGACGGGGGCCCGCACAAGCGGUGGAUUAUGUGGAUUAAAUUCGAUGCAACGCGAAAAACCUUACCUGGCCUUGACAUGCCACUAACGAAGCAGAGAUGCAUUAGGUGCCCGUAAGGGAAAGUGGACACAGGUGCUGCAUGGCUGUCGUCAGCUCGUGUCGUGAGAUGUUGGGUUAAGUCCCGCAACGAGCGCAACCCUUGCCAUUAACUUGCCAUCAUUUAGUUGGGCACUUUAAUGGGACUGCCGGUGACAAACCGGAGGAAGGUGGGGAUGACGUCAAGUCCUCAUGGCCCGUUAUGGCCAGGGGCUUCACACGUAAUACAAUGGUCGGUACAGAGAGUUGCCAACCCGCGAGGGGUAGCUAAUCUCAGAAAGCCGAUCGUAGUCCGGAUU